GAUGAACGCUGGCGGCGUGCCUAAUACAUGCAAGUCGAGCGAACGGACGAGAAGCUUGCUUCUCUGAUGUUAGCGGCGGACGGGUGAGUAACACGUGGAUAACCUACCUAUAAGACUGGGAUAACUUCGGGAAACCGGAGCUAAUACCGGAUAAUAUUUUGAACCGCAUGGUUCAAAAGUGAAAGACGGUCUUGCUGUCACUUAUAGAUGGAUCCGCGCUGCAUUAGCUAGUUGGUAAGGUGACGGCUUACCAAGGCAACGAUGCAUAGCCGACUUGAGAGGGUGAUCGGCCACACUGGAACUGAGACACGGUCCAGACUCCUACGGGAGGCAGCAGUAGGGAAUCUUCCGCAAUGGGCGAAAGCCUGACGGAGCAACGCCGCGUGAGUGAUGAAGGUCUUCGGAUCGUAAAACUCUGUUAUUAGGGAAGAACAUAUGUGUAAGUAACUGUGCACAUCUUGACGGUACCUAAUCAGAAAGCCACGGCUAACUACGUGCCAGCAGCCGCGGUAAUACGUAGGUGGCAAGCGUUAUCCGGAAUUAUUGGGCGUAAAGCGCGCGUAGGCGGUUUUUUAAGUCUGAUGUGAAAGCCCACGGCUCAACCGUGGAGGGUCAUUGGAAACUGGAAAACUUGAGUGCAGAAGAGGAAAGUGGAAUUCCAUGUGUAGCGGUGAAAUGCGCAGAGAUAUGGAGGAACACCAGUGGCGAAGGCGACUUUCUGGUCUGUAACUGACGCUGAUGUGCGAAAGCGUGGGGAUCAAACAGGAUUAGAUACCCUGGUAGUCCACGCCGUAAACGAUGAGUGCUAAGUGUUAGGGGGUUUCCGCCCCUUAGUGCUGCAGCUAACGCAUUAAGCACUCCGCCUGGGGAGUACGACCGCAAGGUUGAAACUCAAAGGAAUUGACGGGGACCCGCACAAGCGGUGGAGCAUGUGGUUUAAUUCGAAGCAACGCGAAGAACCUUACCAAAUCUUGACAUCCUUUGACAACUCUAGAGAUAGAGCUUUCCCCUUCGGGGGACAAAGUGACAGGUGGUGCAUGGUUGUCGUCAGCUCGUGUCGUGAGAUGUUGGGUUAAGUCCCGCAACGAGCGCAACCCUUAAGCUUAGUUGCCAUCAUUAAGUUGGGCACUCUAAGUUGACUGCCGGUGACAAACCGGAGGAAGGUGGGGAUGACGUCAAAUCAUCAUGCCCCUUAUGAUUUGGGCUACACACGUGCUACAAUGGACAAUACAAAGGGCAGCGAAACCGCGAGGUCAAGCAAAUCCCAUAAAGUUGUUCUCAGUUCGGAUUGUAGUCUGCAACUCGACUACAUGAAGCUGGAAUCGCUAGUAAUCGUAGAUCAGCAUGCUACGGUGAAUACGUUCCCGGGUCU
rnacentral:rRNA from 1 species